GUGAGGAAUUUUCCGCAAUGGGCGAAAGCCUGACGGAGCAAUGCCGCGUGAAGGAUGAAGGCCUAUGGGUUGUAAACUUCUUUUCUCAGAAAAGAAUUAUGACGGUAUCUGAGGAAUAAGCAUCGGCUAACUCUGUGCCAGCAGCCGCGGUAAGACAGAGGAUGCAAGCGUUAUCCGGAAUGAUUGGGCGUAAAGCUUCUGUAGGUUGUUUAAAAAGUAUUCUGUCAAAGAUUAGGGCUUAACCCUAGAUAGGCAGAAUAAACUUUUAAGCUAGAGUUUGGUAGAGGCAGAGGGAAUUCCCGGUGGAGCGGUGAAAUGCGUAGAUAUCGGGAGGAACACCAAAGGCGAAGGCACUCUGCUGGGCCAAUACUAACACUGAGAGACGAAAGCGAGGGGAGCAAAUGGGAUUAGAUACCCUGGUAGUCC
rnacentral:rRNA from 1 species